GCUCCAGCGGUCGGCAUGGCAGCUGCUACCUCGCUGGGACAGGCUCUGGGCCCACGCGUGCCGCGCAGUCCCUACAGAACUGCAGUUGUCUUGUCUUCUCGGAGUGCUUUCGGCUACUUUUCCCUUAUUACUUUAGCUCGAUACACGUUGGGCUGCCUUUCACAUUCGGAUAUUACGCUGUUCGAGUGCUGACGGGAAAGGCAGCCCUUUGACACGCACGCGAAAUGUCGCCUGACGAGGGCAAAGGUGACAGUUACUACCGGAAGUACCCUAUCUCAGAUACCCUUUAGAUUUUCCCCCAUUGAAGAAAAACGAGGCGGGAAAAACGCUGUUAGGGUUUAACUCAGGCCCUGGCUCCUUCUCGAACGAAUUAGCGGAACACCCGCAGGAGCCUUGUUUGGCUUCCACUUUUCGGCCCGCCCAGUUCUCUGAGCGUGCGGCGGACGACGCCGGUGAUUGGUUGAGCGAAUGGAAACGGCUCGGCGCGGUGGUUGGCCAGUGGGAAAUUCUGUACGUUGUGAUUGGUCCACAGGAACGACUCGGCGCGCGCGCGGGAGCGAGCUUUGAAAGUUGAGCACGGCGGCGGCGAGCCGGUGCCCUGGGAUCAUGGUGGCGUUGCGGGGCCUUGGUAGCGGCCUGCAGCCCUGGUGUCCGCUGGAUCUUAGACUCGGUUCCACUGGAUGUCUCACAUGCAGACAUCAUCAAACGUCACAUGAGUGAAAAUGGGAUUCCCAAAGCCUGCUAAUGGCACCAUCCAAGCCACCAACCCAGGAGUCAUGGCAUUUCUGCUUCCCCUUUCAUGCCCACUACCACUGUCCUGCCUCUGAGGUGUCUCAGGGCAGCCCCGCUCCAUUCCUGAUGCUGCUGCCUUCAUCAUAGCCUCGAGCAAUUGCAGGAGUAUUUUAGCUGCUUUCUGAUGUUAACUGUGCCAGCCCAUCCCCCACACUUUUGCAGAACGACUUUUGAAAACACAGCUUUGAAUGUGUCAAGCCUGUACACCUUUAAUGUUUCCCCUUUGUUUCCUAAAUAAAUGACCACAUCCUUGGCAUGCUUUAUAAGA
rnacentral:lncRNA from 1 species